UUAUGGCCAUAUCACUUUGAAACCCCAGUUCUCCUAGAUCACCAGAGUUAAGCAACAAUGAGCCUGGUCAGUACCUUGAUGGGUGACAGAAUGGGAAAUACCAGGUGCUGUAA